AGAAACGAGGACUUCACAAUCAUCAUUCUUUCCUUCUAAAUAGAGUAUACCCCAAAGAAUGAACCAUCUAAUCUGAUUUAAUCACUCAUACAUUAUAUCCCUCUCUCUCUCUCUCACUACCACUCCCAUUAAUUAUACCCUCUCUCUCAUUUACUGUGCCUAACCUCUCUUCUUAAAUAGAGCCACCAACUCCUCCUUUUCUCCAUCUCUCUCCCCAUCUACUACUUUUUUCUCUCUCUCUCUCUCUCUCUUGUGUGUGUGAGAAAGAGAGAGGGAGGAUGAGGGUUUUGUGAAGGGCAAAUUCAUGGAGGGCUUAUCAAAGGGUUUCUAACAGAGUUUAUUGGCAUUCUGUCCACCUCCUCCUAUCAUUUUUUUUAAAAAAAGAUACAUAAUGUGAAAAUUAUAUAUAAAAAAUUGUUAGUUAGAGGAGGUGGGCAUACUGCCAACUGAUCUCUGUUGGCUUCACUUUGUAAAACCCUCAUGAAUAAUUAUCCACAACUGUCUAAAAAUCAAGGUUUUGUUGGAAUCUCUAUGUGAAAUCCAAUCAAAGGGAGAAGAAUAUUGAGGCCUAUUAUCAUUCAUUUAUUUCCUCUAAUGGAUUUUGUGUUUGUUUUCUACAAAACUGAAUAUUCUAAAAACAUCAAGAAAUAUUUUUUACAAAAUAGAGUACAGAAAUGUGAUUGCAGGAAGGUUGAUGAAGAUUUUGCCCUUUUCCAGAAAAUAAAAGUUAACAUGGAAAAAGCUUAUGCAAAUUACACAGAGUGGUAGGGCAAAAAGGAAGAAUAUAUUUUUAGUGCUUUUGGUUUUACAGUCGUUUUAAUGUAGGCUCAUGAUUGAUUUUUCUGACAAUUUAGAUUAAAUAAUCGUAGCAUUUAAGGCGUUUUUGUAUAGGUUAUUAAUCUUCUCAAAUACUACAUGGCUAGUUCAAGAUCAUUUAGCAUCCAUUUUUAAAUUUCAAAUUUUAAAAUAUUCAUUAAUUUCAGAAGUAGUAUUAUCUUGUUUAA